rnacentral:rRNA from 1 species
UGUCCAGACUCCUACGGGAGGCAGCAGUGAGGAAUAUUGGUCAAUGGGCGGAAGCCUGGACCAGCCAAGUCGCGUGAGGGAUUAAGGCCCUAUGGGUCGUAAACCUCUUUUGUCAGGGAGCAAUGGCGUCCACGUGUGGGCGUAUGGAGAGUACCUGAAGAAAAAGCAUCGGCUAACUCCGUGCCAGCAGCCGCGGUAAUACGGAGGAUGCGAGCGUUAUCCGGAUUUAUUGGGUUUAAAGGGUGCGUAGGCGGGCUGUUAAGUCAGCGGUCAAAUGUCGGGGCUCAACCCCGGCCUGCCGUUGAAACUGGCGGCCUCGAGUGGGCGAGAAGUAUGCGGAAUGCGUGGUGUAGCGGUGAAAUGCAUAGAUAUCACGCAGAACUCCGAUUGCGAAGGCAGCAUACCGGCGCCCGACUGACGCUGAGGCACGAAAGCGUGGGUAUCGAACAGGAUUAGAUACCCUAGUAGGU